CACGUAGGGCGCAAGCGUUGUCCGGAAUUACUGGGCGUAAAGGGCUCGUAGGCGGCCAACUAAGUCGUACGUGAAAUCCCUCGGCUUAACCGGGGAACUGCGUCUGAUACUGGAUGGCUUGAGUUCGGGAGAGGGAUGCGGAAUUCCAGGUGUAGCGGUGAAAUGCGUAGAUAUCUGGAGGAACACCGGUGGCGAAGGCGGCAUCCUGGACCGAUACUGACGCUGAGGAGCGAAAGCCGGGGAGCAAAGCGGGAUUAAGAAACCCC
rnacentral:rRNA from 1 species